rnacentral:rRNA from 1 species
UACGAAGGGGGCUAGCGUUGCUCGGAAUCACUGGGCGUAAAGCGCACGUAGGCGGACUCUUAAGUCGGUGGUGAAAUCCUGGAGCUCAACUCCAGAACUGCCUUCGAUACUGGGAGCUCGAGUCCGGGAGAGGUGAGUGGAACUGCGAGUGUAGAGGUGAAAUUCGUAGAUAUUCGCAAGAACACCAGUGGCGAAGGCGGCUCACUGGCCCGGUACUGACGCUGAGGUGCGAAAGCGUGGGAGCAAACAGG